rnacentral:piRNA from 2 species
UGGGUUGGCUGGUAAAGACAGGGGUAC